ACUGAACGCUGGCGGCAUGCUUUACACAUGCAAGUCGAACGGUAACAGGGUGCUUGCACCGCUGACGAGUGGCGAACGGGUGAGUAAUGCGUCGGAACGUGCCGAGUAGUGGGGGAUAACGCAGCGAAAGUUGUGCUAAUACCGCAUACGUACUGAGGUAGAAAGUGGGGGACCUUCGGGCCUCACGCUAUUCGAGCGGCCGACGUCUGAUUAGCUAGUAGGUGAGGUAAAGGCUCACCUAGGCGACGAUCAGUAGCGGGGCUGAGAGGAUGAUCCGCCACACUGGGAGUGAGACACGGGCCAGACGCCUACGGGAGGCAGCCGUGGGGAAUUUUGGACAAUGGGCGAAAGCCUGAUGCAGCCAUGCCGCGUGUCUGGAGAAGUCCUUAGGGUUGUAAAGGACUUUUGUCAGGGAGGAAAUCCCUAGUGCUAAUAACACUGGGGGAUGACAGUACCUGAAGAAUAAGCACCGGCUAACUACGUGCCAGCCGCCGCCGUAA
rnacentral:rRNA from 1 species